AACGAACGCUGGCGGCAUGCCUAACACAUGCAAGUCGAACGAGACCUUCGGGUCUAGUGGCGCACGGGUGCGUAACGCGUGGGAACCUGCCCUUAGGUUCGGAAUAACUCCCCGUAAGGGGUGCUAAUACCGGAUAAUGUCUUCGGACCAAAGAUUUAUCGCCUUUGGAUGGGCCCGCGUUGGUUUAGCUAGUUGGUAGGGUAAAAGCCUACCAAGGCGACGAUCCAUAGCUGGUCUGAGAGGAUGAUCAGCCACACUGGGACUGAGACACGGCCCAGACUCCUACGGGAGGCAGCAGUGGGGAAUAUUGGACAAUGGGCGAAAGCCUGAUCCAGCAAUGCCGCGUGAGUGAUGAAGGCCGUAGGGUUGUAAAGCUCUUUUACCCGGGAUGAUAAUGACAGUACCGGGAGAAUAAGCUCCGGCUAACUCCGUG
rnacentral:rRNA from 1 species